CGGGGGGAGCAAGCGUUGUUCGGAUUUACUGGGCGUAAAGGGCGGGUAGGCGGCCACUGCAAGUCGGUUGUGAAAUCUCCGGGCUUAACUCGGAAAGGUCAAUCGAUACUGCAGGGCUAGAGUGCAGAAGGGGCAACUGGAAUUCUCGGUGUAGCGGUGAAAUGCGUAGAUAUCGAGAGGAACACCCGCGGCGAAGGCGGGUUGCUGGGCUGACACUGACGCUGAACUGCGAAAGCUAGGGGAGCGAACGGGAUUAGAUACCCCGGUAGUCCUAGCCUUAAACGAUGAAUGCUUGGUGUCUGGGGUUUUAUAGUCCCCGGGUGCCGUCGCUAACGCUUUAAGCAUUCCGCCUGGGGAGUACGGUCGCAAGACUG
rnacentral:rRNA from 1 species